rnacentral:rRNA from 1 species
GACGAACGCUGGCGGCGGGCUUAACACAUGCAAGUCGAACGGAAAGGCCCUGCUUUUGUGGGGUGCUCGAGUGGCGAACGGGUGAGUAACACGUGAGUAACCUGCCCUUGACUUUGGGAUAACUUCAGGAAACUGGGGCUACUACCGGAUAGGAGCUCCUGCUGCAUGGUGGGGGUUGGAAAGUUUCGGCUGUUGUGGAUGGACUGGCGGCUUAUCGGCUUGUUGGUGGGGUAGUGGCUUACCAAGGCUUGGACGGGUAGCCGGCCUGAGAGGGUGACCGGCCACAUUGGGACUGAGAUACGGCCCAGACUCCUACGGGAGGCAGCAGUGGGGAGUAUUGCACAAUGGGCGGAAGCCUGAUGCAGCAACGCCGCGUGCGGGAUGACGGCCUUCGGGUUGUAAACCGCUUUCGCCUGUGACGAAGCGUGAGUGACGGUAAUGGGUAAAGAAGCACCGGCUAACUACGUG